AGUUCAUUGAUCAUGUCCUACAGCUAAUGAGAGUGAAGAUCCUCUUAUCUUUGCCUUAUCUAUCCACAUAGAUGGCCUAAGGCCACAAUACUAUAAUAUAAAUAUCCAUAUCUUUCUACAUCUUCCAUAUUAAAUAUCCUAAUACUUUUACUUUUACUUAUAAAACUUACACAAGUUAUUUAAGAUUUCUAUAAACUAUGAAAUUCUAUAGAAAAUAAUUC
rnacentral:lncRNA from 1 species